rnacentral:rRNA from 1 species
CGCGUAGGCGGAUGUUUAAGUCAGAGGUGAAAGCCCAGGGCUCAACCUUGGAACUGCCUUUGAUACUGAGCAUCUUGAGUAUGGGAGAGGUGAGUGGAACUCCGAGUGUAGAGGUGAAAUUCGUAGAUAUUCGGAAGAACACCAGUGGCGAAGGCGACUCACUGGCCCAUUACUGACGCUGAGGCGCGAAAGCGUGGGGAGCAAACAGGAUUAGAUACCCUGGUAGUCCACGCUGUAAACGAUGAGUGCUAGUUGUCGGCAUGCAUGCAUGUCGGUGACGCAGCUAACGCAUUAAGCACUCCGCCUGGGGAGUACGGUCGCAAGAUUAAA